UUAAAUAGCCUUUGACCUGACUCUUAAAUUCAUCACAACGGAUUCCAAACAAGGAAGGACCAUGGUCUGCUCUUUAAUAUAUCACUUGCCGCCCAAGGAGGGGAAUUGUCCAGGAUCUUCAAUUUUAGGAGCUGCUGCAUUGCCGGACGUGCUACCACCAUAUCCACCCCUUGAACCACGGCCACGUCCACGUCCACGACCGCUUGGGUUAAAGUACCUCUCUCCUUCAGCAGGCUUCAAGAACUCGUUUAUGCUAACAGACUACAACAUUCAAAUAACAACCACAUUAAACAUAUGAACAGAAAGAUCAUCGAGUAACAUGAUAGAAGUCUUCAAUAAUAAAAAUGAUCAGUUUUUCAAGAAAAGAUUGUUGAAACUAAUAAGACUGUCAUUAUACUAAUGCAGUCCCCUGGACACUCCAAGUCUGCUAGCGUUGACACCAAGCUUCUCAUAAUCACUGUUAAGGAGUUUUCCAAGAAGCAAUGAAUAACAGGUAAACGCCUUGAGAACAGAGUGCAACUUAUGAAGUCGCAAGUGUUAUAAUAACCAAAGCGUUAUCUAAAACUUCUACCAACAGAUAAGUAGACAAGCUCAAGUUGUGGGACCAAAGGAACUGAACAAUAAAAUUGUAUACUUCAUUAGACAAAGAAAGAAGCAUUAAUUCUACAGCUCUCAGACAGAAAUAAAGCAUAGAAGAAAUAUUCUGAGGAAAAAAGCAAUCAGUGUUAGUUAUCAAUGAUUAAUGCAAUCAUUAAUUAAUUUAAAAUAAAUUUGGAAAGCUUUGCAAACCAUAAGAACUGUUUAUCUUCUAACUAGGUUUAGGUGAGAAAGAGGCAGACCUUCUUGGCUUUCUCUUCCUUAUCAGCAGCAUCUUUGCGUUUGUCCUUUUCAGAUCCCUGAGAAAAAGGGUGGAAAAAGGUUAACGCACCAGCAAAACAUGGCCAAGUACUAUAAAAAGGGAAUUUAAUGGUUCUUACCACUUUGAUAAAAACAUCAUCAUUGCUCUUCUUAUUUGAAAGUGGUUGCAUGGAC
rnacentral:lncRNA from 1 species